GAUAGCUCAGUCAGCAGAGCAUGGGACUCUUAAUCUCAAGGUCGUGGGUUCAAGCCAUGCAUUGUGCA
rnacentral:tRNA from 1 species